AGCGUGUUGGACCAGGGAGACAUCUAAGAGUUGACGGCCCUUCAGGACCAGGAUUGCCCACACCUGUGUUAAACUAUGGGUGACAUUUAUUCUGCACCCAGAAUGAAUAGCUGUAGUCCUAUUGUAAAUAGCUUAAAACCUACUGAUGUCCUGCUGCGUGCUUUCUGAUCGAAGCCCUGCCAUGGUCAGUUAGGAAAAUAUCAGCAACAGCGUUAACAAAACUAUAAAACGGAAACUAUGAGUGAAAGUUUUGUUCCGAAGAAUCACUUCCUGAAGCGCAAAACGUGAAGGUGUGUUGGACUCGCCUGAGGGAUGGUUUUGUUGCUAGGCAAAAGCCCUUGACGACAAGAGUUUGACACUCUGAUCUACAGCUGUAUACUGGUAUAAAGAGUUUCGCUUUUAAGAAAUGAAAAAGCUCUGUUGUUCAUGAGUGGCUUUAUCUGGACUGUCAAACAAAAAGCUUUCACCGUCUGUGAGUCAGACCCUCCACCCGCUUCACCUCCCCGGAGACACUUACUGGGCCUAAUGUACAGUCCAGGGUGGUACAGGAAAUCAUCCACCAGCCAUCCUGUUUCACAACAGUGAAGGGAAAAUGACUCUUAAUGACUGUCAGGGCGAAGCCCUUCGUUAGAAAACCGGCUUUCAUGUGAAUAGAGAAACAUGUUUGGGUUAUGUCUUGUUUUCCAGAUGCGGUGAUGCAGUCAGAAUGUUUGAUGGUUAAAUAACAGCAUUUAAAAUAGGAUCUUUAGCUACAAAACAAAAAA